UCAGAGCGCAUGGUUCCGGACCUUGAAGUCAAGGGUUCGAAUCCCUUCUAGCCCG
rnacentral:tRNA from 1 species